rnacentral:lncRNA from 1 species
UUAUUAUAUUUUUAGUUUUACGAAAUUUUUUGACAAAACCAAUGGGUAGGAGGACGAAAAUAAAAAAAAAAAAAAAUGCUGCUGCUGAUUUUUUUUUAAAACCAACCGUUAAUAUCAAAUUUUUUUUUUAUUAUUUCACCAGGAGAUUUUCUACUAGUGUAACGAACUAUUUUUUUUUUCUUGACAAGGUUUGAAUUGAAAAUCAAUGUGCAACAACUUACUAAAUCACCAAGAGCAUAAAUUUAGAUUCUUUCAUGCAGUUAUGAACUAAAAUUUUUUUUUUUUUGCAUGAAAAACACUGG